AGGCGGCCGCGGGGCCUCCAGCACUCCCGGCCUCCUCGGCCGCCCCGGCCUCGCACCUCGCACCACCUCGCAGCCUCGUGCCUUGCGCCCGGCGCCAGCGCAGGGAUGGACGUUGGCCGCCGACGCAGGAGUGGGACCGCUGGUGGUUUCUCAGCCCGCCGUUACCUCCCUCACCUGUUCCCCUCCGAAAAAGCUCCGCGCUUGGCGCGUCUUCACCCAUGGGAACUGGAGACGCUCCGCUGUCCGGCGUAGUGUCUCUGCGGGAGCCCCAGCAGCGGAGUGGUGGCCCUGGCCGUCCCGCCGAGCAAGCCCUGCACGGGGCUGAGGAGACCCAGCGUGUCGGGAGAGCCUGCGCCAUAAAACACGGUUCUGCACCCCCGCUGCAGCAGGAGUGCCACCCCGCAGCCUCGCCACUCCUAAUAGGAGCAUUCAGGAUUAAAAACAGAAUUAGGAGUUGUUCUGUGAGCAGCCAGCGUCCCAAAUUCUGAAUGUUUUAAAGAAGAGAGGGGAUAAUCAUCGAUAGCGGUUGUGAAAACUCAUGCUGUUGACCGCAAGAUCCAGAACCUGUUGAAUUUCGACCUCAGAGCUGAUCUGCAGCUUCACCCUGACCUUCAUUAGCAAAACCAGAUCGUAUGGUGCCAGCUAGCCAAAGUCAGUCCACUGGGCUGUUCAAAACAGCAAGGAGAGAAGGAACAGCAUUUCUCCUAACCUCAAGGGUAAGUCUCAUGACAGUAGAAGACAUAGAAGACUUUCAAACCCCUUGCUGAAACAGAUAAGAAUGGUCACAACUUUCACAGCCUUCAGGGGUCCUCAGAAGCAUUAAUCGGUGCUUAUUGUUAAGGCUUGUUGAGACCAUCAGUUGGAAAUACAGAACAACCUGUGUCUUCUGGGCUGUCUUUUCCAUCUCUAUAUAUUCUUGCCAAA